AGGUAGGUGGUAUAGUGGCUUGAAUGUUGGACUACAGCUCUGGAGACCAUGGUUCAAUUCCCUACUCAGCCA